UACGUGGGGGGCAAGCGUUGUCCGGAAUCAUUGGGCGUAAAGAGCGUGUAGGCGGCUCGGUAAGUCCGCUGUGAAAGUCCAGGGCUCAACCCUGGAAUGCCGGUGGAAACUGUCGAGCUAGAGUCCGGAAGAGGCGAGUGGAAUUCCUGGUGUAGCGGUGAAAUGCGCAGAUAUCAGGAGGAACACCAAUGGCGAAGGCAGCUCGCUGGGACGGUACUGACGCUGAGACGCGAAAGCGUGGGGAGCAAACAGG
rnacentral:rRNA from 1 species